AACUCGAAAGACUGCGUACCAAUAGUAAUACCGCGUGCGUGCAGGCUAGUUUAUGCCGUAUCACUAUUUGCGAGAGCUUAUCUUGCACUAAACAUUUUCACUUAUCGGCAGCGCGGGUCAAGUGGAUGUAUCCACCUACUAUUUAACUUAUGACUUAUGUGUAGUGAAUUACUAUUGUUUCUCACGCUUUCGAGUUGAUGAUUUUUUUAAUUUUUUCAAAACAAAAGCAUUUUUUUUUAGUAAGUUUAACUAUAUGUUUCGAUAGUAUUACUGAGGACAAAUCGUUCUGCCACGGGAAGACAACCACUAAAAUUUCAGCGUGUAUAGUAACCUAUGUAACCC